CAGCAGUAGCCGCGGUAAUACCGAGGGUGCGAGCGUUAAUCGGAUUUACUGGGCGUAAAGCGUGCGUAGGCGGCUAAUUGAGUCGGAUGUGAAAUCCCCGAGCUUAACUUGGGAAUUGCAUUCGAUACUGGUUAGCUAGAGUGUGGGAGAGGAUGGUAGAAUUCCAGGUGUAGCGGUGAAAUGCGUAGAGAUCUGGAGGAAUACCGAUGGCGAAGGCAGCCAUCUGGCCUAACACUGACGCUGAGGUACGAAAGCAUGGGGAGCAAACAGGAUUAGAUACCCGAGUAGUCCCUGUCUCUUAUAC
rnacentral:rRNA from 1 species